UACAGAGGGUGCGAGCGUUGUCCGGAAUUACUGGGCGUAAAGGGCGCGUAGGCGGCCCGAUAAGUAGGACGUGAAAUUCCGCGGCUCAACCGCGGAACUGCGUUCUAGACUGUCAGGCUUGAGCACGGUAGAGGCAGAUGGAAUUCCCGGUGUAGCGGUGGAAUGCGUAGAUAUCGGGAGGAACACCAGUGGCGAAGGCGGUUGCCUGGAGCUUUGCUGACGCUGAUGCGCGAAAGCGUGGGGAGCGAUCCGG
rnacentral:rRNA from 1 species